AUUACGUCCCAGUGCGCAAGCGCCGAGGCCAUCUCGUCACUUGGAGAAGGAUGAGAAGCGGCCCCCAUCCAGAGGCACACAUCUGCCACCAGAUCCGUCGCUCACUGGAUUCUGUAAUCAACGUCUGCUGUCAUGUUCUCCUAUGGAACACGAAGUACCUGAAGUGGAAUGAAGAAGCCCAUGUUUGAGGCCUGCGCCCUGGCGGGAGCAUUGAAGGGGCAUCUGACACGUGACGAGCUGCUCCUGUGUACUGUGAUCACCGCGAGUUCAGAGGUUACACAACGCGUUGCUGAUCUAUCCAGGACGGCUUCAGGAUGGACUAUAAGAAGGAGGUUCAGUCCCGAUUGGGUCCGGCGCAACCUCAGGGAGUACAUAUACAGCGGCCUUGGUUUACGACGACGCACAAUGGCACAAAGAAGAACUAAGAGCAGCGCUCUGGAGACUGAACAACCUCCUGAUGCGGAAAAUGAAUGGAUCGC